rnacentral:rRNA from 1 species
UAGUCGGUUCAGCCGGAGUGCGACGUUCGCAUGUAGCGCCGGAUCGGGUAGUAAGGACGUAGCGCCGGAUCGGGUAGUAAGGAGGUAGCGUCCGUCCGGCGCAUAUAUUUUACCACUUGGGGGGAGGAUCCCAAGGUGAUUCUCUCCUUUUCCUCUAGCCUCCAGUCAAUACGCGGCGGCGGACGGCAAAAGGCUAGACGGAGUAGAGCGGCAGCGGCAGCUUCCGGAGCAUACUCCUAGCUCACCACGAACGCUUCUCCGCUGGUUUAUUCGUCUGGGGGGAAACCCUCGGCGUCAGGGGUUAGCUUCGUCGUCGUCGUCGAGGAAAGGCUCGGCGUUGGCCGUUAGCUUCGUUAGUUCGCCGAGGAGGGGCUCGGCGUCAGGCGUUAGCUUCGGAAGGGGAAAAAGACAGCGUUUAGGCGUUAGUUUGGUCAGGAAAAAAUCUAUGUAGGUCUUUGGCCAGAAACCUUAACUAGAGGCUCAACGUGUGGUGUAGCUACUGGUUUAGUAGGCACGUCCCGGAGUCGUUUAGGAGGGAGUUGUAACACAUCCUAUUACUUCAACUAUACGAGUCGUUCAACGGACUACUGUAAAACGAGUUGUAACACCUCGCUGAACUAUAACGACUACGGUGUGCUUGGUGGUAGGAUAGGUCUGCAACCUUCGUCUAGGGACGCUAUGAGAGUUUCCAACAAUAUUACCAACCAAGAAAAGUCGGGUUCGUGCUUCCCUCCUUCAAUUGGAGUCUACUAUAUGAAGUCCGGUUAUGACGGUACGACCUUCGUUGGUCCCCGUAUGAACUUUCCUCCCGCCCUUUAGGUAUGUCAUAAGUGGACAACGCGUACCUUAAGAUGAACCCUCUACUCAGGUAAAAGUAACCGGUCUGACAACGGUUGUGGUAUCGUUGUGUUUUCCAACGAAGUCAACUCAAAUAUUAGAAUUGCUUCAACGCGUUACAAAAAUGGUUAUUACUCGACGAGUGAAUACCCUCAGUCAAGUACAGUAAGAAACUAAGAACAGGUCAGUGUAAACCACCAGAACGUGCGGAGUGUGAUCUCUUAAACUCCAAUCCGCUUAGUCCGAAAGGCUUUUAAAAGUCAUAUACGUUCGUUAACCUCAAGGAGGCGGAGAUGGUGACACUAUACCCGUAACUCAGAAACGACCUUCACCUCGUGGGUGUCGAGUCACUUGAUCACUAACGGACGUCAUCCUAAUAAUUCUCCUAACUAGAUUUCACCCAUGGUUUUGAGUAUCAUGACUUUCAAUUACAUAAAUCUAGAGUUCUACUGGGGAAGACAGAACCGAUACGGGGAGACGAGGUCUGACAGUCGUAGUAAUUAUGACCAAAAAGAACCGUGUUCUACGAGUUCAAUUCACUCAACGAACCAUUUUGUCGUUAUUCGUUAGACGUAAACUUGAAGUUUUCGCUCUUCUAAACCCAGUUUGGCCUUCCAGCUUCUGUUAACAAUGGCCACAAGGUGUUUGAUUCCGCACACUUAAACAUAUUGUAAAAACUUCCUACGCUAGACUGAACCUAUUACAAGUAUGAGGUUCCCCGUGGGUCGGAAUUCCUUGAUACGUAGCACCACGCCCUAGUAAAUACACUUUACCAUUGCCCCCUCGUCUCUUUUGACAUACGUAAAUCGCUCCUCUUCCUGUUCCCUCAUCUCACCCUUGGUAGGCGUAGACUAAAGUUCGUAGCGUUGGAACGACUCCAGUCUUAGAAACCCUCCAAAGAUCGUAUACUGUUGUAACACGCGAAACAGGCCUUACAUUACCUUCGUCGCCACUCAGACCUCCCGUAUUUUGAAAUAUUCUCAGAUCACACAGUCUUAACGUUCGUUUGCCAAGUCUUCACCUGUAACUUCCUCUUCCACAGCGAGUGGGUGUUCGAGUUACACCCCUACGACAGAAGCCGGCAGGCCUAAGUCAAGGGGUUAAAUCUCGUACAACGAUGAACCAGUUGUAUGACGAGAACUCGACGUUCGAGUGAUCACUUGGAAAAGCCAAUACAUAUAAAAUUCUAACAUGUGGAGACAGGACCAAAUGACCGGGCGAAACAUAAAACACAGUUUAAAACAAGCAUUCAAUUGAUUAUUUUACAAUUUCGUACAGUGUUUUUUAAUAUAGUAACCUAAACAUAAACUUGCAUGAGGGAGGCAAGGAUUUAUGAGGGAGGCAGGGUUUUAAGAACAGAAUCUAAAUAGAUCUAUGCCUACAUAAAUUAUGAUUUUAUACUGAAUUAUGUAGACAUAAAUCUGUUUAGAUUCUCUUCUUAAAACCCUGCCUCCCUCAUAUUCAAACACAUUUCUAAGGUGAUACCUGAUGUAUGUUUCGUUUUACUCACUUAGAUGAGAUUUUACCAUCAGGUAUCACCUUUGAAUAUAAAUCCUUGCCUCCCUCAUCAAAGGUUACCAUAUUAAAAACCACCGUACGUAAAUGUUAAACAAUCAAUUUAAAUACUAAUUUUAAACUGUGAUUUAUGCUUCUUGGUUAUUUGGUCCUACCUCCAUCUCAUGACUCAUACCCUCCCAUUCAUCAUAACAAGGUAUUCACACUUUAUAAAAACGUUUGCAUUCAAAGCCUACACAAUAAACACUAUUUACGAACGUGAAAAAACAUGACACUUUAUCCUCAUAUAUCAUUCAUGAUGAAUAUUCAUCUCUUAAAUUCGGGCCGAUUCGAUCGGACCGACACCACUAAAGGGUCAAGAAACCCAUUAAGGAAAAAGAAUUUCCCAAGGACACC